CGCAGAUCUGUUCCAUAUUUGUUCCUAUUUUGUUCUUCACUGUGAUUAUUUUUGUCUUUAUGCGAGAAGUGUUUUAAUUUAAAGCACACACAGGAAACAUUAAGAAGGUCAUGUACCAUGUGGUCGACCUUGCUGACGCUGAAGAGGUUUCUGUGUAAAAAUGAUAUGCAGUGAGGGAGUGAUUCCCCAACAUCGAGGUGGCAGAGAUCCGGGACCUUCUACGGAGGAAGUGCAACAAUGCCAGUUACAAGGCCUCCAGUAGUUCAAAUCAGAGCUAGAUGUCCAUAUAGUACAAGUUGUUCGCAAUUGUUCUCUUCCCGGCAUUUCAAAGAAAGUCGACUGUUUAAGGUUCCCCAUUUUGCCAAUAUCUGUUUUGUGUGUUACUUUUGUGUCAUUA